AUACUCCAUACACACAUGUAAGGCACAGAAUGUUUCUUGGUAAAAAUGGCACACAAAAUACAUAAAACACUCUGGACAGCCUCUUCAUGUGAACUUAUGGUUUAUGGCUUUUUUUUCUUUUUUUUUUUGUUUUU
rnacentral:ribozyme from 1 species